rnacentral:lncRNA from 1 species
GGGUAUUUUGCAUCACAAUGUUGUGUAACACUUGUAAUUAAGGUCUCGUGGAGACGUCUGCUUACUGAUCAUGUUGUUAAGGGCCUUAUAUCCACACGCGACCACACAUUGUUAUUCAGAUGUCCUUAGCUAAUUUUCUUUACUGCCUUCUGUCACAGUUUGUUCAUUAUAAGCUUGGGUAGGGAUUAUUUAUCUAUAUUCAACGGUUUCUUUCACACUGGCAGCUGCAAACUUUCUUGCCACAACUACACAACAGAACGUGGGCUUAAAAAAAGAUUCUGUCCGCUUAUAAGCUCGUCAAUUGACCAAAAGAGCUUCUGAGAGACAGCUGCGUUGAAUCGAUGCAUGAAAAGAAAUAAUGUCUUGGAAAUAUUGUUCUAUCAUAAUGUUAUAAAGCAUUCAUAUGAAACACAGCCAAUAUAAAAGAGCGACCUAUAGAUUUCAGGGCAAAAAAGAAAAAGCAAGAAGAAAGAAGGGAAAUGAAAAGGGAAAAAAAUGAAAAAAAUUACACUGAGAGAAAGAAAGCGUUUCGGGUGAAAAAAAACCCCCAGUGAGUGGGCCAUGUUUUGGUCGUAUUCUGCAGCUGUUUCCGUGUUCACUUGAUGAUGGUUGCAUUCCCUAUAAUUAAACAUAAUUUUCUGCAACCUUUAAACAGCAGUCUUCAGAAAAAAUAUCCAGAUGACCAGCUACUUUGAGUUCGUCUUUGUUGCUCAGAUCUCUCACGUCAGUGAAAGUUAGAAAAAAAAAAGAGAUACAAAUAAAAAGAACACUUCCCUCGCCGCACGGUGGGAGUUGCGCUUUGUAGAAAGCUAGUUUUCCUACUGGCUUUUUUCUUUCCUUUAAUGAAACUAAUUUGUUUAACAUAUUCUUUUCUUUUCUUUUGACAUAUUCUUUUAUAUUCUUAUAACCAUUUUAAAGCCUCUGUGUAUUUCAAUUGAGUUUACCCGGCGAUAAAUAUUGAAUAAUAGCGCGAGAAAAACGCGCCAGAAGUUCUAGAUUUUCCCCUCAAAUCAAACUGCGCGCUUUUUACGCAGAGCAAAACUUUCUUGUAUUCAGCGCCCUCUUGCGACGCUGGAGCUUGUUCCAUUAUGCGACAGAGGCGGAUAAUAGCCACGGAGAAUCGCCUUUGUUGCACAGCGCUUCAGCGGAAUACUGUGCUUGUACAAUAGUGAAAAUCGAUUCAAAUAUCGCAAUAGACUAAUUUUGCUGUAAUGAAAACUUAACUAUUUAAUAAUCAUGAUUUUAUAUUAACUUUAACGGUGAAACAAAAUAAUUAAAUGCCUAAUUAUACUGCACUGCAUAUAUACAUCGCCACAGCGAAUUCUUCCCCCGGGAUAGAGAGGAGAACAUUGUGAAGUGGACUAAAUGAAAAAUAUACAGUGUAUGGUUGCAUAAUAUUCAGUGAACAGCUACUUGUAGUAAGAUUUCAUAGCAUAAAGUCCUUCUUGUUCCAACACCGACUGAUGAAGCGAGUAGUUGUUGAAACAUAUUGACGACCGGGAAGGUUACUAUAAGAACAGGACCAAUAUGGCAAUUGAGAAGAGAACAGUCAAGCGUAUCAAACCCCAAGACUAGAAUCUCAAUGUUUCUUCGCGAAAGUCAAGCAAGAUUGAAUUAGGAUAUAAAAAAGAAUAAAUGCCGCAUGAUUUUGAUUAACCACCCAGUAACGCUCGUUUCGAGGGGUACGGAUUAUUGCUCACUCUGAGGGUGGAUCCAAGCGAUGAAUGCAUAAGAAUAGCGAAAUACAUGUUUCUACUGUUAAGAAUAAUUGCCCAAACUACAAUAUAUUGAAUCGCAACGCAGUCAAGCUAGGCCAGUGGUUCUCAACUAUGGUCCCUAUAAGAUUUUGGGGGUCCACACACGCAAAGUAGUAAUUUGGGGAUUCUCAGUAGUAUUUUAAGGGUCCAUGAAAACAGUUUUGCUUUAGGUGUAUUUUUUUGUAAGAAACAACUAGGUUUUUUUUUCUCUAACAUUUUACAUUUCUGUCUUUGAGGACAAAGAUGUAGCAAUAAUCUAAAGUAAACUUGGAAUCGGAAAACCUAUUGAAAACUUUUCCCAUUUAAUAGGAUCAUAGUGGGAGAAGAUUUUAAAAAGUAUGGCAGUAAACAACCUUUGUUUGUGGGUAUUAUGAAUAUGCUGCAAGAAGUAAGGUCCUUUUCGCUACCCUAAUAUUGUUUCUAAUUUAAGCCAACAAUUCUGAGAGGAGGGUGUUAGUCGAUACCAUUAAACCUCAUGCUAGACUGGUAUUCAUUUUAUUGGCCACGGAAAAAUGCAAACAAAGUUGAACUUGUGUCAAUUUAAACGCAGAAGGUAAAAAGUUGGAAUAAAUACUGGACUGCAUUCUAUCCAGCGCCCUACAGAUUCUGCCAAUCCAACAACCUUCACUACCCUAAUAUCGGUUUUAAAAUUUUGGCACAAGGGCAGCGAAUUGGGGAGAGGGUGUAAGUCGAUGAUAUCAACCUCAGAGCUCAAUUGGUACUUGCUUAAUCUACCCCGAAAGGCUGAAAGGUAAAGUCGACCCCGAUAGUAAUCACUACUUUAUGUUAGUUUCAAAUUUUGUCACAAGGCCAGCAGUUUCGGCAAGGGGAUUAACCGAUUACAUCGAUCCCAUUGUUCAACUAAUACUUAUUUUAUCGACUCCGAUAUGAUAGAAGACAAAGUCGACCCUGGAGGUACUCACUACUUUAAUAUUAAGAAGAACAAUGAGCAACAUAGAUAACAAAUAUCCAGCGUAUUCUUUCUGACUAGUUUGAUUUACUCUGCCUUUAGAACAGGACAAGUAGAAUGUUGGGAAUCAUCGAGUUAAUAGUUUAGUAUAAACACAUCACAGCUAAUGGCCAAAACUUCUAGAGUUAUGGUUUAGUGAGUUAUUUCGAACACUGAGAGAUCAGACUUGCUUCAGUAUGUUAAUAAUAUGAACUUAGAAAACCUACAUUUCAGUCUUUGAGGACAAAUGUAUGACAAUAAUCUGAAGUGAUCAAAUUGGAAAAUUAGAAAUAUGUCCAUGGAAUAUGUCCAAUGAAACGAGAAAAAUGGAAGCUGCAAGGUAAUUUAAGAUGAUUUCUUUGAUCAAGUCAGUUCCUUGACCUAAACUCAUAAAUUAAUGCCUAGUAGUAACCCCGUACGGCUGAAACUGGAAAACUAUUUAUGUAAAUAUUUUUUUAAAUAAUAGAAAAAAAAGUUACAUCAGAGGUGGCCAGAAAAACUCAAGCAACAGAUUUGCAACUCAUUAAUUCUAUGCCUAAACAUGUUCCUGACAUUCGGGUAGGCCCUAGCAAUGGCAAAAAUUUAUUCAUAUUUAAAAACAAAAUUGUUCAAGAUUUAUUU